GAUGAAGAACGCAGCGAAAUGCGAUAAGUAAUGUGAAUUGCAGAAUUCAGUGAAUCAUCGAAUCUUUGAACGCACAUUGCGCCCCCCAGUAUUCUGGCGGGCAUGCCUGUUCGAGCGUCAUUUCAACCAUCAAGCCCUGCUUGUGUUGGGGUCCUGCGGCUGCCCGCAGGCCCUGAAAACCAGUGGCGGGCUCGCUAGUCACACCGAGCGCAGUAGCACAUCUCGCUCAGGGCGUGCGGCGGGCUCCAUCCGUUAAAGCACCCACCUUUCGCAAGGUUGACCUCGGAUCAGGUAGGAAUACCCGCUGAACUUAAGCAUAUCAAUAAGCGGAGGA
rnacentral:misc_RNA from 1 species